rnacentral:lncRNA from 1 species
CCUUUUCAGGCACAUUUUCAAUCAAUAAAAAUCGUUAUUCAGAUAAAUUGCUCUCUUGUUUUUACUUUUACUGUUUUGUUUGCAAAAACGUCCGAAUUUUUGAUAAACAUUGCAUAUAAAAACAUGAAGGCUAAACAAUAACGUGCAAAAAGACUAAAACAUUUGAAAAUCAUUUUGAAUGUUGAGGACACUUGAGCGUAUCUUGUCCAUGCACCCCCUGGGGCAUCUGUUGUUCCGUUGUGCAGGGCGUCACCUGUGAACAUUCCCCAGCAGUUUCUUU